rnacentral:rRNA from 1 species
CCUACGGGUGGCAGCAGUGGGGAAUAUUGGGCAAUGGGCGCAAGCCUGACCCAGCAACGCCGCGUGAAGGAAGAAGGCUUUCGGGUUGUAAACUUCUUUUCUCAGGGACGAAGAAAGUGACGGUACCUGAGGAAUAAGCCACGGCUAACUACGUGCCAGCAGCCGCGGUAAUACGUAGGUGGCAAGCGUUAUCCGGAUUUAUUGGGUGUAAAGGGCGUGUAGGCGGGAGCGCAAGUCAGAUGUGAAAACUCAGGGCUCAACCCUGAGCCUGCAUUUGAAACUGUGUUUCUUGAGUGCUGGAGAGGCAAUCGGAAUUCCGUGUGUAGCGGUGAAAUGCGUAGAUAUACGGAGGAACACCAGUGGCGAAGGCGGUCUGCUGGACAGCAACUGACGCUGAGGCGCGAAAGCGUGGGGAGCAAACAGGAUUAGAUACCCCAGUAGUC